UGUAUUAUUAGUAUUAGGUGUACAGAAGUUUUUGAUACUUCAAGAAAUAGUUUAAAUCUAUUAUAUACAA
rnacentral:tRNA from 1 species